ensembl:lncRNA
AAUCUAUCCAACCGGGAGUGCGGGGAUCUCGCGAUGUUGUGUCUUUUGCCCUCAGCCGUCUCAGCGGACCUGAUGGAUGUGAUGAAGCCGGCAGGCUGACCAUAAAUAAAGUUUCUCCCUGAGCCUCUGUGAAUAUAUCGAGGUCUACGCAAUAGUCCUAGCUGCUUAAUGGUGGAAAUACAGGGUGGGAUGGAGCAAUUGUUGUACUUCAGCCGCUGUGGGGCGAAGUACGUCAACAUCGAACCAGCCAGAGUGAUGUUAGCCUGUUAGCAGCUAGAUCCAGUGUGACACCUGUGGAAGGUGGUGCCACGAGGGUUGUGUUGGUAGACCUGACAGAGAUCAUAUGUACAGCUGUCCUGCAUGCCCCCAGGCUCAAAUGAGUCGAUGCCGUCCAAAACCGUCCAAAAAAAGAAAAUUUUGAUAACCAUGUCACAUGAUUAUCACGCCUUCCCGUGAGGAUGGACACUGUGUAUCAGCGACCCUCACAACCCUCAUCACCACCCCCCUUCCCGUCAGGAUGGACACUGGGGUUUCAGCGGCCCUCACAACCCCACCACCCCCUUCCUGUGAGGAUGGACACUGUGUUUCAGCGACCCUCACAACCCUCAUCACAACCCCCCUUCCCGUAAGGAUGGACACUGGGGUUUCAGCGGCCCUCACAACCCCACCACCACCCCACCCCUUUCAACUGUGCAUAUUGUAUACAGUUGUAUUGUAUAUAGUUCUCUGCAAACCUAUGGUGACAUCAUGCCUUCAGUGUGCAUAUUGUAUAAAGUUCUCUGCAAACCUAUGGUGGCAUCAUGCCUUCAGUGUGCAUAUUGUAUAUAGUUCUCUGCAAACCUAUGGUGGCAUCAUGCCUUCAGUGUGCAUAUUGUAUAUAGUUCUCUGCAAACCUAAGGUGGCAUCAAGCCUUCAGUGUGCAUAUUGUAUAUAGUUCUCUGCAAACCUAUGGUGGCAAAAUGCCUUCAGUGUGUCUUGAACAACCACACAAGGUUGCCAAUUUAUAUGAAUUUUGUUGAUGUAUUUGCACUUUUAAUCUUGCUGAAUUCUACAAGGCAAAUUAAUUAAUUUAAAACUUAAAUGGGGCCGUUCCCCGGCCCCAUGUAACCACUGUCGCAGACAUGAAUAAUUGUGUCCAAAUACAGAUAUGAUGACAAAUGACCUGAAAACAUUUGGUUUAGCCGUUGCUAGGGACGCCAAAAUAGCAAAUCCAGUGUGACACCUGUGGAAGGUGGUGCCACGAGGGUUGUGUUGGGAGACCUGACAGAGAUCAUAUGUACAGCUGUCCUGCAUGCCCCCAGGCUCAAAUGAGUCGAUGCCGUCCAAAACCGUCCAAAG